rnacentral:rRNA from 1 species
CUACGGGGUGCUGCAGUGAGGAAUUUUGCGCAAUGGGGGAAACCCUGACGCAGCAACGCCGCGUGAGUGAAGAAGGCUUUCGGGUCGUAAAGCUCUGUCAAGUGGGAAGAACCUGCAAGACGUUAAUAUCGUUUUGCACUGACGGUACCACUGAAGGAAGCACCGGCUAACUCCGUGCCAGCAGCCGCGGUAAUACGGGGGGUGCAUGCGUUAUUCGGAAUCAUUGGGCGUAAAGAGCGCGUAGGCGGUCUUGUAAGUCAGAUGUGAAAGCCCGGGGCUCAACCCCGGAAGUGCAUUUGAUACUGUGAGACUUGAGUAUGGGAGAGGGAAGUGGAAUUCCUGGUGUAGAGGUGAAAUUCGUAGAUAUCAGGAGGAACACCGGUGGCGAAGGCGACUUCCUGGACCAAUACUGACGCUGAGGCGCGAAGGCGUGGGUAGCAAACAGGAUUAGAUACCCUCGUAGUC